rnacentral:misc_RNA from 1 species
AAGUCGUAACAAGGUUUCCGUAGGUGAACCUGCGGAAGGAUCAUUACCGAAGCAAAAAAUCUGGUUGGGUGCUCGUUGCUGUUCCUCCCCCCAAAAGCUUCGGGGGAAUGCGGCUGGGGUAAGGGAAAAUGUGCAGCGCAGCCCCCGACCACUGCUUUUCCACCACAUCACCUGUGCACUUCUGUAGAUUGGACGUCAUGUGCAUGCAUGCAUGCAUGAUGGGUCUGGUCUAUGUCCCUUUUAUAGCACCCCAUUGUUAUAACAGAAUGUUGUGAUGUUUUUCCUUCAAUGGACAUACACUAUGACAACUUUCGACAACGGAUCUCUUGGCUCUC